GUACACUCCUACGGGAGGCAGCAGUGGGGAAUUUUGGACAAUGGGCGAAAGCCUGAUCCAGCAAUGCCGCGUGUGUGAAGAAGGCCUUCGGGUUGUAAAGCACUUUUGUCCGGAAAGAAAUCCUUGGCUCUAAUACAGUCGGGGGAUGACGGUACCGGAAGAAUAAGCACCGGCUAACUACGUGCCAGCAGCCGCGGUAAUACGUAGGGUGCGAGCGUUAAUCGGAAUUACUGGGCGUAAAGCGUGCGCAGGCGGUUUGCUAAGACCGAUGUGAAAUCCCCGGGCUCAACCUGGGAACUGCAUUGGUGACUGGCAGGCUAGAGUAUGGCAGAGGGGGGUAGAAUUCCACGUGUAGCAGUGAAAUGCGUAGAGAUGUGGAGGAAUACCGAUGGCGAAGGCAGCCCCCUGGGCCAAUACUGACGCUCAUGCACGAAAGCGUGGGGAGCAAACAGGAUUAGAUACCCGGGUAGUCCCAUGA
rnacentral:rRNA from 1 species